AUUGUGAAUAUCCAUUCUCCACCAUUAUGAACUGGGAAGCAGAGAAAGUUAGACUUCAGCCUGAGAGAAGAAGGAUUGAAGAAACAGAGUUGAAAAGGACCAGAUUUGACAGCCUGGUCUCUGAUAAAAUGAAGAACCUGUAAUUUCAAUAAAAAGACAAAGGCGCACAUAUCUUCUGGCAAGCUGGCUCAGAGUUUAGUAUUUGAAUGCUGGUGUGGAGAGCAGAGCAGAGUGUUGCUCUGGACUUUUCUGGGAAAUGAGACCUGUGCUAGGAAAGGCCAGGAUGCCUUCCAGGCUUGUGCUGAGCAGAUGCGAUUAUCUGUGGAUGCCCCCAGGUCUGCUAUUAGAUGAGAGUGUCAUAUGGAGGCUUCAGGUAUGAGGACUGCUCACCUUGACUGACAGCAGUUCACCGGAGAGUAACUUGGCCUGCAUCCGUGCACAGUGUGUGGAUUCUGCUGAGCCAGGCAAGAAAUUGUUUCAUCUUCUUGAAAGUCACAGACUAAGUUUCACUCAUUUUUUCCCAAAACCUUCUCUAGAGCCCUUUCCCAUUUCUUCUGGAUUAAAACCCCUAUAGGUAGCUAUACUGCCUACAUUAAUAAAAUCAA